GUACACACCGCCCGUCACACCAUGGGAGUCAGUUGCUCCAGAAGCAGGUAGUCUAACCGCAAGGAGGGCGCUUGCCACGGUGUGAUUCAUGACUGGGGUGAAGUCGUAACAAGGUUUCCGUAGGUGAACCUGCAGAAGGAUCA
rnacentral:rRNA from 1 species